GGGGAUGCAAUUGUAUCGACAAGAAUUGUUCUUUAAUAACUGCAAGCCGGCUUCGAGUAAUAGCCGUAAAACAGACUCAAAAAAUAAAUGCUGAAGGUACAUCCAUCAGCCGUAACAUUAGAAGGUUCGCCUCUAAUGUUGUAGACGGAGUUACAGGAGUCUCUCCUGCAUACGCACGUCUAGCUGCUUAACGUAGCCGUAUCCACACCGUUUCUUUUCUCAAACGGAUAGGUUGUGGGUAUAAACAAUGUUUGAGAUAGAGUAAAAAUGUGAUUUGGUUUUUACUUAAAAAUAAAAAUCUUGGAAUUAUCUUUCCGGUCAGCAGGAUCAGGAUAAAACGACAAUUAAAAGUUGACUAUGCUUGUAGAUGUUUUUUGAUAAUAAUUUUUGGACGGGAGGUCAUACCUCCCCAUCUCCACAC
rnacentral:tmRNA from 1 species